rnacentral:lncRNA from 1 species
GAAGCCAGGCCAAGAAGAAUCCCAGGACUGGAAGGCCUUGUGGGACGUCCCAGGUUUGUCUUGUGUCAAUAGCACUGAUACUCAAUCUCCUACUCCCAUCUGUGAGCAUGCAGACCCUACUUGCCUUCCCACAGCCUCCCUUUUCAUAUUUUUCAUGUUUCUUUAGCUCUGUCUUCAAGCCUUGUUGCUCCCGCAAAAAAACCUGCCUCUUCCUCCAGUCCUCCCAAGCAGGGGGAACAGUCCUGACACCUUUCCAAGCCCUGGUCCAUGGACAUUGUGCCCCCUUCUCCCUGCCCAUGGUGACCUGCUCCAAAACCCUCAAGGAGAAGGGAGUGUAUGUCAUUUCCUCCCUGUAAAGUAAAGAUAAUUUUGCAGGGGACUGUGUGGAUGAAAUGACAUGAUGCAUGGAAAUCCCUUAGCGUGUGCCUGGCAUGUAAACUGCAGGUGUCAUCAUUAUUACUGAGGAAUACUGAGUCCCGAACAUGGCUGUCUCAUUGGUGGACUGGGGUCUCCCCCAGGGCAUUCAUCUACUAUGUGUUUAUUGCACCCUUUUUCCAUGUGAGGCACAUGCCAGGGACUGGGCACAUGGUAUGAACAAGACACAGGUCAUCGGUGUCCUCUUGAGCUCCCUGGCUUGGCAGCAGAUGCAUACCUGGGAAGGAUGCUAGGUCAUCCGGGAACUCUACCUCCUUCAAAUCCCUAAGGACUGUGCUCCCAAUCCGCUUACGCUCAAGGAAGAACUGGAAGGCCCAGAACCAGCCUGCUGUCAGGAUCAGAACAAAAGAGGAGGACUGCAUAUGUAUGGACCCACUCCAGAUGGCACGGGGACGGGGGGAGUAGGAAAAGUGGCAUGGUCCCUUCCCGUGGAUAUAAUUCUUCCCAGGCCUGUUGUGUGAGUUGGUGAUGCCAUCAUUCCUGCCUCACACUUGCAAACUUCCCUCUUUGGAAUUUCAGAGACCAGGCCCACAGAGUAUGGCUGUGCAAGUUGUUCACUCUACAAGGGCACCUGGCCGGGGUCUUACCUUGAAUGGAGGAGAAGAGCUUGAAGAUGAGGGGACAGGCCAAGACAACUACCUGGCCCCGAGGGGUGGCUGGCCAGCAGAUGAGGAAAUGGAGGCACAGACUGAUUAGAAAACCAGCUCAAGGUCAUGUUGCUGCUCUCUCAUUCCUGUUGAGGGCUCUCUGGUGGAGCCUCUGUCUCACAGGUCACCUGCAGGCCAACACUCCCAGAAGCAGCUAGCACCAUGGUUGACCUCGUCCAGGUCCAGGGAAGGCCUCCCUCUCCAGGACUCCUUUAGAUUUCCCCAGCAUCCAGACCUCACCUGCCUAAGUGCUGUUGCCCUGGAAGCCACAGUGAGCACGAGCUCCAUCUUGCACCUUUACCAGCCAAUGGGGGUAAAGACAUUAGCUGGGAAGCCUGAGACCACAGCUACUGCCUCGAAUCAGAAGCCCCAGCCUCAUCAUCUGGGGCCAGAGAACUAGGGCAGGAGGAGCCAAGUAGCACAGCAGGAAGCAUGAGUCCCUCCGAGGAGAAGCUGGUCUCUGAGAGGAGCACAGAAUGCAGCAGGCUGGAUAAGCCCCCUGCUGAAAUCAUGGGGUAAAAAAGAGACACAGGGGGAAUGGAGGAGCCAGAGAGAAAGCAGUGUGAUCACAGGCACACAGGACAGCAGCUCACCUUCCCAUCCUUGCUGGCUUUUGCACCCAACAGCCCAAAGCCUCCCCGCUGCAAAUUCUUUUUUUUUUUUUUUUUUGCCAGCCUCACUUCCUCUUGGGGAAGGCUGAGCUCUGGUAGAAGAAGAGAAUGAGAACUGCUGUAAAUACUUCUAAGGGGCCAGGCGUGGUGACUCAUGCUUGUAAUUCCAAGCACUUUGGGAGGCUGAGGCAGGUGGAUCACCUGAAGCCAGGAGUUCAAGAGCAGCCUGGCCAACAUGGCGAAACCCUGUCUCUACUAAAAAUACAAAAUUUAGCCAGGCAUGGUGGCGGGAGCCUGUAAUCUCAGCUCCUAGGGAGGCUGAGCCAGAAGAAUCGCUUAAACCUGGAAGCUGGAGGUUGCAGUGAGCCAAGAUCACACCACCACACUCCAGCCUGGGUGACAGAGCAAGACUCCAUCUCAAAAAGAAAAAAAAGAAAAAAAGGAAAUACUUCUAAGUUAUGUGAGAGAGUACAUACUGACAUUUUCAAUGGGUACAAUAA